rnacentral:rRNA from 1 species
GACGAACGCUGGCGGCGUGCCUAAUACAUGCAAGUAGAACGCUGAAGAGAGGAGCUUGCUCUUCUUGGAUGAGUUGCGAACGGGUGAGUAACGCGUAGGUAACCUGCCUGGUAGCGGGGGAUAACUAUUGGAAACGAUAGCUAAUACCGCAUGAAAUUGCUUAUCGCAUGAUAAUUAAUUGAAAGAUGCAAUUGCAUCACUACCAGAUGGACCUGCGUUGUAUUAGCUAGUUGGUGAGGUAACGGCUCACCAAGGCGACGAUACAUAGCCGACCUGAGAGGGUGAUCGGCCACACUGGGACUGAGACACGGCCCAGACUCCUACGGGAGGCAGCAGUAGGGAAUCUUCGGCAAUGGGGGGAACCCUGACCGAGCAACGCCGCGUGAGUGAAGAAGGUUUUCGGAUCGUAAAGCUCUGUUGUAAGAGAAGAACGGGUGUGAGAGUGGAAAGUUCACACUGG